rnacentral:rRNA from 1 species
AUUGAACGCUGGCGGCAUGCUUUACACAUGCAAGUCGAACGGUAACAGGGAGCUUGCUCCGCUGACGAGUGGCGAACGGGUGAGUAAUGCGUCGGAACGUGCCGAGUAGUGGGGGAUAACGCAUCGAAAGGUGUGCUAGUACCGCAUACGCCCUACGGGGGAAAGCAGGGGAUCUUCGGACCUUGCGCUAAUAGAUGAGCCUAAGUCGGAUUAGCUAGUGGGUGGGGUAAAGGCCUACCAAGGCGACGAUCUGUAGCGGGUCGGGGAGGAUGAGCCGCCACACUGGAGCGGAGACACGGACCAGACUCCUACGGGAGGCAGCAGUGGGGAAUUUUGGACAAUGGGCGCAAGCCUGAUCCAGCAAUGCCGCGUGCAGGAAGAAGGCCUUCGGGUUGUAAACUGCUUUCGUCAGGGAAGAAAUCCUCUGGGUUAAUACCCCGGGGGGAUGACGGUACCUGAAGAAUAAGCACCGGCUAACUACGUGCCAGCCGCCGCAGUAAAAC